UACGUAGGCAGCGAGCGUUGUUCGGAGUUACUGGGCGUAAAGAGUGCGUAGGCGGUGUUCCAAGUCUGUUGUGAAAUCUCCCGGCUCAACUGGGAGGGUGCGGCGGAAACUGGGACGCUGGAGUACGGGAGAGGUAAGCGGAAUUCCUGGUGUAGCGGUGAAAUGCGUAGAUAUCAGGAGGAACACCGGUGGCGAAGGCGGGUCUCUGGGCCGAUACUGACGCUGAGGAGCGAAAGCGUGGGGAGCGAACAGG
rnacentral:rRNA from 1 species